rnacentral:lncRNA from 1 species
CAAAUACUUUUCAACAUUCCCUUCUGUCCUUUCUUUGUUUUUAAAGAAAGCUCUGAUUUUGUUUCAUUUUCAGCUGGAGACUUAAAUGACACCAAGCAAAGCCUACUUAGUUUAGAUCUCCAGAAAUUGGCUGGUGGAAAAAAAUCAAACAUGAAGAUUGCAGUUUUGUUUUGUUUUUUUCUGCUUAUCAUUUUUCAAACUGACUUUGGAAAAAAUGAAGAAAUUCCUAGGAAGCAAAGGAGGAAGAUCUACCACAGAAGGUUGAGGAAAAGUUCAACCUCACACAAGCACAGAUCAAACAGACAGCUUGGAAUUCAGCAAACAACAGUUUUUACACCAGUAGCAAGACUUCCUAUUGUUAACUUUGAUUAUAGCAUGGAGGAAAAGUUUGAAUCCUUUUCAAGUUUUCCUGGAGUAGAAUCAAGUUAUAAUGUGUUACCAGGAAAGAAGGGACACUGUUUGGUAAAGGGCAUAACCAUGUACAACAAAGCUGUGUGGUCGCCUGAGCCCUGCACUACCUGCCUCUGCUCAGAUGGAAGAGUUCUUUGUGAUGAAACCAUGUGCCAUCCCCAGAGGUGCCCCCAAACAGUUAUACCUGAAGGGGAAUGCUGCCCGGUCUGCUCCGCUACUGGUACAGAGAUUUAGCUAAGCAAAAUAUCAGUGUGUGAUUAAUCUUUAACUUCCAUUUGUUUUUGUUACUAAUUUUAGAUUAAAAUUAUGAUACAUUAGUCAGAUCUGAGUACUUAAAAUAUUGGCAAAAUGCUGAUUAACAUAGAAAAUAUCUGGGAAAAUGUAUGGUAGGGGAUAUAAAUAAUAGACUGUGGCUUUAUAGUUCUAGCUCUAUCAGAUUCAGUAAACUUGGAUGAGAUUACAUUCCACAUUUGACUCUCAGCUUUAGAGAUAUGGUAACAGAAUUUCUACAACAGAUCCUGAAUUCUUAUUGCAUUAAGGGCUCUGCUUUGGUCUAUAUGUGCAUUAUCCCACUUAAUCCAGUGCAACGUGCCUUUAUCAUCUUGAAGCCAGGGUAAACAAAGGAAGAGUGAUUUGCAUCUAAAGAGAACAAAGCCCCAACCCUCUGGCUAUACCCAACCACUCAAAGGCAGCACAGGAACCCACAUCACUGCUUGGAUAAUCCCAGGAAAAUGCAGAAAAAGUGUAGCCUGAAGCAUGAUUUUCUCAUGUGGCACUUCUGUGUGCAGGAGAUCACAGCGCGGGUUUUGUUGGCUGCUCAUGGACCCCUUCUCCAAUGAGGCUCAUACCUGACUGAAUGAAGGACCCUUGGGAGGGAGGCCCAGUCUCCUCUGAGAAAAGCCUAACCAACACCUUAUGAAAAUAAGCAAAUAAAUACUUGUUAAAUAAUUGGCUGGGAAGGGAUAGGGACAUCUUCUCUUGUCUAUAACCAAGGUAGAUUGCUCCCAUGCACACAGAUGAUCACAGGGUAGGUGUCUACAAAAGUCUCCUUGCCAGGAAAAACUUUUGACUAUUUAGAAAUUGUGUUUUGCGUUAUACUACCAAAUAUUUCACUAAUAUUUAAAAAGAGUUAGGAAAAAAGUGUUCAAUGAAAUGGAUUCCUUGGAGUGAAAUAAAUACAAGGUUUACAAAGUAA